rnacentral:lncRNA from 1 species
AUUAUAACUUGUGAUAUAACAAAAUUAAACUAAUAUUAUAUAACUUCAAUCAUAAACAUCAAUUCAUAAUUUGAUAUAAUAAAUCAUCAUUCACAGAUUAAUAUAAUAUAAUAUUAUCUAUAAAUCCUUCCAGUAAAAUCAUUUCAAAAUCUAACUUUCACAAUGGUAGCACCCAAAAUCACCCCAAACAUGUAAAAUACUACUGUACUCAAAACGUAUAAAUAUUGUCCUCUAAAAUUUUACUUUGCAGACACCAUUAUGAAUUCAAAACCUAUAAACAUUGCAUUCCCAUAUUUUCUUUACGGACUCACUUUAUACACUCAAUCCCUCAACAAUGCAAGAUACAAAUUCUCUGCAAGAUUUCCACUCUGCAUUUCUUUCUUCAUCCAUCAACCACAAUGAAAACUUCUACUUCCUUUCUAUGUUUCUUCUUUCUUCUCUUCCUUAUAUAAUUCAAAGCUACACUUUUCUCAUAAUGUUGAUUCAAACCUAAUAAAUUAUUUCUCUUUCAUUCAGUAUCUAUCCUUCCUCUCAUCAAUUAUCUAUAUCUAGCCCUCCUCUUAUCCAAUAUCCAUCCCUCCAGCUUUCGCUCCCCACACACACCAUUGCAUUUUAUUUUCACAUGGGUUACUAACCUUAUAUCAAUGCAACCAUGAUAACUAUGAUAACCCAUCUCGAACUGAAAUCUUAAGUUUCCUUCCACGGCAACCCCAACAACACAUUUACAAUUUUUAAAACACCAUACACCAUGUACUCCAUACAUUCAUUUAAUAAUGAAACCUAAGAACGGAACACAAAACCCCUGGCCUACAUUCAAUUCAUACAAUAUACAUCUAUGCAUAUAUUCACUUUACGUAAACUCAACUGAAAUCAUGACUCUCCCACUUACUACACACAAACAGGUUCUAUUUUCAUCCUCGCAUGUAGCAUAGUAUUGAAAUAUAUGAAAUAGUUUUCUCAUCUGAUACACCC